rnacentral:misc_RNA from 1 species
CGACUGAAUAAAUACGAAGGACCAUAAAAAUGCUUCCAAUUUUUGCAGCUACAUUCAAUAAUACACAACCUGUUCUCAUAAUAUGAUUCAGAUACAAAGACAAGGCCUGAACCUGAAACUCUGCACUAAAAAUUUCGAGGCCUUGCAAACUAACAGCUGAGUUAGAAAUAACAAGGUUUUAUUUUUCAUAAGGAAUAUAAACAAAAAUGAUUACCCAAUAAGAAUAAUGAAAAUAAUUGCGAUAACGGUGAUACUCAACACAAAAUAAUAGAACUACUAAUAUUCUUCAUUGUUAAAUCCUUUAAGCAAACGGAUUUCCACCAACAGAAGCAACAGGUCCUUGAGUUUGGACAUUCCCUAAUUGAGGGCUUGGUGCUUGUCCUGCCAUGUAUGCCAAGCUACCUACAGCAACAAGGAGAGUUAGAUUGGGUGAAGCAAAAUAUCAUUGCCAGACAUGUUUUAAAUGAUUCCACAGUUUCCCACCCUUACACGCAAAAAUGCUUCAAAUUCCUGAGGAAUUAACAUAGCUCUGGCAAUAACAGUCCCUGAAUUACAACAGCUAAAAAACAAACAUAAAGUUACACUGGCAAGAAUCAACAAAAAAUUAACCUUGUGGUGCAGCUGGAAUAUAAGUUGCAACUGGAUCUUGAGGAAACCAUGGUUCAGUCACACCACCAAGGAAGGUUGAUGGCAAGUGAGCAUUAGGCAAAGCAGUUUGCAAUGAACUAAUAUCCAAGAACAUAUUGCCUGGCUCCAAAUCAGAAUCAUAUGGAAGAUCAAAUGGGUUAGUUGAUUUAUGAUUGAUUGUGUAUGGUUGAGGCGCUUCCUGUAAAAAGAAAAUAGAUUUAUUACCAGAUAAAUACUCUAACUAAACUCAAAAGGCAUAAGGCUGAUGCAAGAGUAUGAACCCUCAUAGGAUUCUCUGAAGGAGUAUAUGUUGGCUCCAGGACAUUGUCCAAUGGUCCAUUCAGACCAGAGAGUCCUUCACACAGAGCAGCUCCUUGAAUCCCAUAUUUACUAGGGUCCUGCAAAACAAAUUUUGAGUGCAAAUUGAUGAAAGAAAUAUCUUGAAGCUUUUGAGGUAAAUGCAACCUCUGAAGCCUUCAAUCCCAAAUACUGGUCAGCAGUUGAUGAAGGCACGUGCACUGCUACUUGUGGUUGACUAACUUGAUUACUGCCCUCUAAAGGAAGGCGAGUAAUAGAAUUGUCAAAAGCAUUCCAUGUCUGAGCACUACCUGUGUUACCAGAAGCUUGAAGAUUGUGCAAAUCAUUGUGCCAGGGACUAGGCACUGAUGAUGACCCUUGGGCAGUAGAGUUCUGAAAUGGUGGCCACUGCAUGCCUGUAUCCAAAGAUGAAACCUGAUCAAGCUUUGCUGAAGAAUCUACAUUUGAAGGUACCAUUGAGGGUGCAAGAUUUCCAGUCCCUAAAGUGGAUGCCAUGGGCUGAGUAUCAAAAGUAGCCCAUCCUUCAUUUUUAGGGACUGAUGACUCUGGUAAAUUUUGGUUCAAGCUAGUAACUGAUUGCUGCUGAACAAUCCCACCAAAGAGAUCAAUAGAUGAGGAAACAGAAGUUUGGGUGGUUUGAUAUGCAUUCAACGAUGAAGCUGGAUCCAAAGGUGCCUGAAACAAAUUGAUAGAUGAUGCUGGUGAUGCUGCUGGCAAUUGAAACAAAUCCAUUGGUGAAGAUCCAGAAGCACUUGAUUCUGGAAAAACAGGUGCCUUAAAAUGAUCCAAGCUACCACAACUCUCAGAAGUUGAUAAUAACUGUGGAAAUGUAGGCAUUCUAUCCUGGCAAUCUCCAUUAGCACACUCAGGCUCUGAGACAGCAUCUGGUAAAUUACCAGAAUUAUAUGACUUCAAAGAUUCAGAAUUGCUAUCAAAUGAUCCAACACUUCCUAAAGACGUAGCUCUCUGUCGACGUGGAAACCCAUCUGCAUCUCUCUUAAAGUUUUCCUCUGAAAAUUGAUCUAUUCUUUGAUGAUGUCCAUUUUCACCUGAAUUAUCCCUUGGAGUCUGAAUAGUCUGAAAAUUUGGCAACUCUCUACCGAUCGGAUCACCCCUACUAGAUACAGAAUAGUCUGAAACCCUGGACACAGAGCCCUCAUUUGCAAAACUGUCCUCAAACAUUCUUUCAUUUAAGCGAGUAGGACUGCAAAUAAAACUAGACAUCUUCCCGACAUAAAGGCCUCGAUCAGAACCAGGUUUACGUGUCAGAACAGCAGCUUGCUUUCCAUAACGUCGAUCUUCAUACUGGAAGUCAUAAGGAGGACUUUGAGAAUAUGAAUGAUAAGAGCUUGCACGCCUAGUCUCAUCUUCAGGGCUUCUAAGCCUCUGCAAAUCCCUAGGAGGCUUGUCAUGGGUCUUUCCACCAGCAUAUCUUUUAUCAACAUAUACAGUCUUUAUAAAUUCUCGCACUUUGUCAACAUUGCUUCAGGAAGAAAUCAUUAUUAGAGAAGUUCCAUGUUUGUCAUAUAUAUGCAUUGCAAAAUAGCAAAAGAACAAGCAUCUUGCACCUGUUAUCAGGCAAUCUCUGCCUCUGUUGGUCCCAAUCCCUCAAGUACAUGUCCCUUGCACGCUGAUUACCACCAUUUUGAAGUGCUUCAACUUCUUGAGAUGUGAACUUGGACAUUGACACAGACUUUACACGAUGAGUGAACUCCCGAUGUAUCCCACUACAAGUCAUACAAAUGAAAGUCCAGAAAUUAAUACAAACAUACUGCGGACCCAAGCUAUUGCAGUUGAUGCAGCGACGAUUAGGUGGCAGCUUCAUGAGACCUCUAAUAAUCUUCUCGUUACGUUCUUCUUCCUUUUUACUCCCCAUUUCUCUACAGAUUCAAAACCUAUGAACCACAAACCAAAGAAAACAGAGCUUUUUUGGACCUCAAAACCCAAAAAUAUUCAAAAGACAAAACCCAAAAAAAAAAAUCUAGGGUUUGAAUGGGGUUUUUGAAUUCUGGUAUUAGAUGAACAGUCUCUAAAAAAUAAGCUCGAUUGAGACCACGAAAGACGAAACCACGCACUCUCUCUCUCUCCUCGCGUCUUUUGUUCAUAAAUUAACAUAAAAAAAAGGUCGCUUUUGUUAAUUAUAAAAAACAAAAUAAUUGAAAUGAAUCUCUAUGUAAUUAUUGGCUGUUCUUUAAAGAAAGCUUGUAGAACUAUAAUUGCAACGUCUUUAUCGAUCAUGGCGACGCUGCCGACUGGCAAGAGGAAUUUGCUGCUUCCACGAAGAUGGAGGCGUGAGGUGGUGGUGAGGUGGCACCUUCGAAUUUGACGCUGGUCGUUUGGUG